rnacentral:lncRNA from 1 species
UCCUCAUUCAAUUCUGAAGGACAAGGAGAAAGUGAAUUGCUUGAAGGGUUCAAACAAGAUGCCCAUUGUUUAGAGAAGUCAUCAGAAUCAAUUUCCUCAAGAUCUCUAGAAGCUGUUAAAGAAAACAAAAAGCUAUACCAGAUUCUGAGUUGAAGGUAACAACAAGCAGCAUUGAGGUUGGAUCAGUGGAAACUGCACAGGAGGUG